UUAAUCGGUCCCCUCGGGGAUGUCUGAAACCCUUGAAUACAUAACUUUGUUGCUUUGGCGGGCCGCCGUAUGGCGUUGGCUCCGGCUGACCGUGCCCGCCAGAGGUCAAAACUCGUUUGUUUAAUGAUGUCUGAGUACUAUAUAAUAGUUA
rnacentral:misc_RNA from 1 species